rnacentral:lncRNA from 1 species
AACUAAUAGAAGAGCUGGUUGUACAAGUAGUUCAGGAUCUGGUCACAAAUAUGCACUAAGCUGCUCGUCCUCCUGGGGUGAAAUUCACCUUGGACAGAGACAAGAAUUGCACCUUGUUAGCUCAAAAAAAAGAUUAUAUAACAGCUCUCAAGAGGAAGCUGCUAACAAGCCCAUCUGA